UACGGGGGGAGCAAGCGUUGUUCGGAUUUACUGGGCGUAAAGGGCGCGUAGGCGGUCGUGACAAGUCACUUGUGAAAUCUCCGGGCUUAACUCGGAACGGUCAAGUGAUACUGUCGGACUAGAGUACAGAAUGGGGCAACUGGAAUUCUCGGUGUAGCGGUGAAAAUGCGUAGAUAUCGAGAGGAACACCUGCGGCGAAGGCGGGUUGCUGGGCUGAUACUGACGCUGAGGCGCGAAAGCCAGGGGAGCGAACGGG
rnacentral:rRNA from 1 species